UACGUAGGGGGCAAGCGUUAUCCGGAUUCAUUGGGCGUAAAGCGCUCGUAGGCGGUCUGUUAGGUCGGGAGUUAAAUCCGGAGGCUCAACCUCCGUUCGCUCCCGAUACCGGCAGACUUGAGUUUGGUAGGGGAAGGUGGAAUUCCUAGUGUAGCGGUGGAAUGCGCAGAUAUUAGGAAGAACACCAGUGGCGAAGGCGGCCUUCUGGGCCAUAACUGACGCUGAGGAGCGAAAGCUAGGGGAGCAAACAGG
rnacentral:rRNA from 1 species